rnacentral:lncRNA from 1 species
CAGGCGUGAGCCACCGCACCCGGUGAUGCCCAAUCUUUAGAUGAAACCUCCUCUCUGUCUGGCCCAGGGCUGGGUGGUCACAGAGUCAAGGCUCAGUCUGCAUUAUUUCCUUGGCCUCUCCCCCGGCAUCUUCUGCACCUCACUCUGCACUCCCCGAUCCCUCCAGGUGAGCCCAGGACCUGCCACACUGUGCCAGCCUCGCCCAAGCCACCCCCCAGCCAGGACGCGGUCUUUCCUGACUCAGCAGGCUGAGGCACCUGAGGCUUUCAUUUUAAUUAUGAACCACUUCAAAGCCUUUCUGGAAGCAGUCUCUGCAAUAACCAACCUGGGUUCUCUCCUAAUGUGGGGAUUGUCCUGGAGCCCAGGCCUUCCAAGGCUCCUCCGCCCGCCAACAUCACCUACCUCAUCUUCCUCUUCAGCACAUCCCCAACAUUGUCUAAGCGGUAACUCACCUGAGCAAAGCACUUGACACGGAUUCAUUCAUUUACUCCUCACAACAACCUGAUGAGCUCCCGGCGAGCGGCCCGAAGGAGAGCAGAG